CCCGCCCACCCGGCCCGGCUUCUGCCGACAGCUGGGCGGGGACGCGCACGCAGUCCCGGCGGGGACGCGCACGCCGCCCUCUGACCCCGCAGCGUCGUGGCUAGAGUAGGGUCUGGAGAGAGCUCCCACUGUGGCGAGUCCUGUCGUUGGAUUCCCGCGGCGCCCCGUAAGGCUCCGCCCCGGCGGUGCUACCAAACCCUGUUCGAUUUUAGAAUCGUACAUUCCCAGAGGGAAUCCUAGACCCCUCAUUUUACAGUUGAGGAAACAGGCCCAAGUAGCAUGACUUGUUCGCGCCGCUAGUCGAAGGAGCAGCAGCCCCGAUCCCUUGACUCUGGGGCACUGCUUUCCCUUUAGCUCAUUUUUGGAGGAAAUGGGUGCGCCCUUGCUCGACCUUUGGUGAUUGCCGCCACAGGCCUUCCCGCCGGCUAACUCAGCGUGCCCAAGUCCCGUGACUUAGUGCCAGGACGGUGCUGUGACCCGUUAUCCCCUGUCGGGUUUUACCUCCCCCCGGGAGAGCUCAGCCCUGGAUCCCGGCGGGCGGCGGAGCCUCUCUGGAGCCCGGACGGGACAGCCCACCAGGGUCUGCUUCUGUGAGGGGCCGAGGCGUCAUUCCGCGAAGGAAAAGAAGCAUAAGCUGCAAUAAAAAUUUGGUUUCAAGAUAACAAAGUCAGUCCCCAAAAAUCAGUAUUGAGAGUCACUGACAUUAAAUGAUGAAGAUACGAGGAUGGUGUGGGGACCUUUACUCUUCGAAGAUGAGCUAUACAUGCCCCUGAAAAGGCUGUCUGAAGACAGGGGAAGGCUGGAGAUGGCAACUUUGGCCUCUGCCAAGUACUCGUGCUAUUUUCUGUAUGUGAUACUAUCUGUUUUGUAACUCAGAGGCAACACCACAUACCUAGCAUAAGGCUUGAACUCCCUUUGGGGUUAUCAAUUACUUACAUAGCCUUCCUCUAAGGGAAGGCUUGCAAGUGGUUCAUAUUCGACCCUUCCAUGUGAUAAGCAUUCAUGUGGGCUUCACAAUGUAACAGAGGUACACAGAGAUUCUUGUAAACAGAAAAUUUUAUAAAACUGUUAACUGAUCUCACUUUGAAGAAGUCUUACUGACUAGAUGUCAUUUAUCAGAGUAGACAGGCUUAAAAUGCAUUGCUUGUACUAGACUGUUGUAAUGCAUUUUUUUGUUUUUGCAUUGGUUUUUAAUUCAUUUAAUUGGUUUACACUCAUUUUUUUUUUUACAUUCCAUUUUUGCAUUUGUAUGCCAGUUAAAAAUUAUGAAAUGGCACAUUGUGGGAUUUUGUUUAGCUAAAUUCUAGAAAAAUUGAAAGAUACCUUUUAUUCGACUUAAGCCUGAGGUUAUUCAGCACGGUGAUCUCUGCAUUUUUGAAAGGUUGUCUCGUCGUUUAAUAAACGUAAAUAACUUAAGCACAUUGGAAGAGCUAUUAAAUGAGAGCAGGAGAUUAAAAAGACAUGAUUUCUUACUUUAUCCACCUGACAGGAUAGCUUGCAUUGGUGAUUAACCUUGCAUUGUUAAAUUCAUUUCCUAAAUAUUUAGGUAAGUAGUUGGUUUGAUCAUUAUUUGUAAAGUAUUAGUAGUUGCAUGUUGAAUUAUCAUGUUAAGAUUUUUAGUUUGUUGUUCAUGUGAUAUGAAAGAUAACAAUUCCUAAAACUGAAUGCAUGCAUGGCUUAUUCAGCUCAGGUCACAUACAAAGAGAAAUGUGACGCUGCAAUAAACAUAGCAGAGCUAUCUGGGUUUGAAGCAAAAAGGCUAUGACGUUAGGUAUAUGCACUUUACAUUGUAUGUAUCUUUUUAGUUCUAGUGAACUCAUCUGGAAUCAUGUUACAGAAAAUGAUUCUCCAGGUCCAAACACAUUUAAGUUUAAUGACUGGGACUACUCUAACAAUUGCGGCUAUCUCAUUUUGUCUCAUUGGUUCAUUAGCAUAGCACCCAUUUAAGAACAACUACUUCUAAACACAGUAAUAUUUCAGAGGCUAUAAAAUAAUAGAGAAAGAAAACUUAAAAAAUCCUUUGUUUGCAGCCAAGAAAAUGUGAGGAUCAGAUUUGUACUUGUUUUGAACAAUUGGAAACUGUCACAAUUGUUUUUAAGAUGUAAUAAAUGUAUAUAAAAUAUGGGAUUCUAUAGUAUUAGCCAUUUUGAUAUCUUUUGUUGAAAGAAAAAACCAAAAAACCCCAUAUGUUCUAAGUCUCAGAAAUCAAAGAAUUCCACAAUUUUCAUUUCCACUAAAAUAUUUAUUUAAUGGAUAUCUUACAGAAAUAAAUAAAAACAGUUUUUGUCUAAUACAGAUAGGUUUUUUUAUAUAUAUGUAAUUUGAUUUUACAAAAUUGAAGCAUAUCAAAUUGUUUUCUCUAAAACAUAGCUCAGAAAGGAAUAGUAGAAAACAAACACAAAGAAAUACUGAAAUAGUCUCAUUUUUAAAUUAUAAGCAUGGGCCUUCUGAAUCUCAGCAUGACAUGUUAUUAGUAAAAGAAUGUAAGAUAUGGAGUCAGGGGACCUGGGCUCCACUGUUUACUUGCUACAUGUCCUAAGAAAGUUUCAAUAUAUCUGAACUUCAGUUCUCUACCUUUAAAACAGUAAAGAUAUUAAUUAUAUCAACUUCACAAGAUUGUUGGGUAAAUUAAACACGUAAAUGUACAUGAAAGCUCUUUUUAAUAUGUGAAGAGCUAUAAAAAUAACAGUUUGAUUUAAUUUCAUAUAAAAGAAUCAAUGGAUACCUCCUUUUAACUGAAGAAUAAGCACCAAAAGCAUGUGUGUGUUUUCUUCAGUUGAAUUACAUCACUCUAUAAACCUAGAGUAAGAAAAUGCACCUUAACUAAGCACCAAAGCCUCUCGGACAAAUGGGAUCUAGGGAAUGGUUCUAUGAGUUUUCCAGGCAGCUAACUGGGAGCUAAUAAGUCCUGAGGGUCAAAGAGGGUCCUUUAAAACUCUGAAGGCUCAAAGAAAAGGAAGCCAAAUAAGAACAUUUGUAUUACAUCAAAUGGCUAGGAUGUAACAAGCUACUCCUUAUUCAGCAAUUUCAAAGUCCAUUAAUUCCUCACAGAAGAAGAAACACUUCGUUAUUAUCACUUGCAACGAUUUGCUUAUGUGAACAUGGCAUUCUCUUGUUCAAAAGGUCAAAGACUCGUGCUUAAGGGAGGAACAACUGGAGUGAAAUAACAACUCUACCAUGAAUUCAGAUAUCACUGGCUAAAAAGUCUAGUUACACAAGAACAUGGGAAAGAAAAAGAAUCCAAGACAUCAGUAUAAUAAUGAUUAAAAAAAAAACCCUGCCAUAUUUCCAUGUUAUAAUAAAACAAAAUCAUAAAAACUGCAAUAUUUACAGAUACAUCAAUCUUACAACAUAUAAAAACUUUAACAAUAAGAAAAAUUAAGAGUAGGGAAAGCAGAUAAUUUUAAGGUAAUCAUUAAUACAUUAAAAAAUCUAUUUGGAGUUAACUGUUUACACUAACACCACUUUACACAUAAUAGAAAUAUGAAUAUUUUCAUUGUUUUUGUUUUCAGUAGCAAGAUGCAGAAGAAACAAAUAACUGUCUAACAUUAACUUAUUGUAAGGAGUUGUAUUACUGCAAAAUUACUAGGUGUAAAGUUAUGGUAUAAGCCUACUCAAAAAAUGGGUUAAUAUAAUUCACCAUCUACUUAAAAUAUUACUAACAAGAUAUUGGUGAAUCAUGUGCUAAAGAUACUGAAGGCCCUUCCAAAACUGAGAUCUAUGUUUGUUCAAUAUACCAGGUCAUAUAAAACUAGACUAGUUUACUUUCUUAUUCCAACUGUUUUAUGAGUGAUCUUAUCAUAAGAAAAGUACACAUUACCUCUCUUAAUUCCCUUGCAUCAUCAGAUAUAGAUACUAUUUGGGACAAAAAAUAAAUGUUUUAUUAGGAGUGUAAAAUUAAGAAUCUUUAUAGAUCUUUUGGAAACAGUAUAUUGAAAAGGACUCAAUAAGUACUAAGCCACUGUAUAACCAGAACAAUAAACAAAUUCAUUCAACU
rnacentral:lncRNA from 1 species